GUAACAAAGCAUGCAUUGCGUCGCUUCUCCGGAAAGUGUGCCGGGAAUGCCGUGCCGGGAAUGUCGCACGUCGCAGUGAUUAGCGUACGCGAGUUUAUCGUGCUGCAUCGCAAUCGUAGGUUCGCCAGUGAGUCAGUAAACGGGUGUGUGAUUCAAUUUAGUUCAGUGAUUAGUGGUUCCGGUCCCCUUGUGGGUAUGUGGUGUGUUCAGUGGAGGAACAGUCGCCCGCGUUGACGAUGGAGAGGCCUAGGAGGCAACGGGCAACAGUGGUGCAAUCGUAAGAUUAAAUAUGCGAUUCCGCUGCUGCGCACUGAUAUUCUUCGAGGUGAAAAACGACGAGAAGAGAACACCACCCAUCGUCGGCGACUUAGACUUAAAAUAAACGAACCGCAGCCGGUUUGUCGCGUCGCGCGUUAGUUUCGGGAGUGCCGUAUAAAUACUGGACUACAUUAUAUAAACUUUUUUCUUAAUUCCCAUUUGAUAGACUCCUAGUUCGAGGGCCGGGAAUCGCACCUCUGCUGCUUGGCAGUGAAUAUUCUUACUGGGGCGUUGCGUAUGGUGGGCGUGCGCGCCGCACCGCGACGUUUCAUGCCGAGUGCCCGUGCACGAGGUAAUGCCGGGCCGCAUGUACGACAUGUUUCGUCCGUAUGCAUGUUGCGCGGCUGUCUGGUUGUGUGAGGUUACACGCUCUGUCUCUGGCAAUCGGUUCGGUCCUAAGCGGUAAGAGUUCGGAUCGGUUGUCUUGGAUUCGCACGUUUCUCUUGCUCUCGUCCACCUAAGGCUUUCUUAGACCCUUGAUACCCUUUUUGGAUUCUUUGGAUCUGGGGUUCGAGCCAGUGAAUCACGUUUAAUCUGACUUGGUCAGAACUUGGCCUUGUAGGUUAAGCUUGUGACGAGAGGCUGGCUCUCAUUUCCUGAUUCGUCUAAAAUGCUAGACGUCGGCAAUGAGUACCUUCUUCUCUCGUCCUGCCGGAGUGUCUUGUCGACGCCGCUUGGAUAUAAGAUCCAGUGGGACUGAUCUCGAUGAUCCGUUGGCUGGGCGUAUGAACGAGUCAAUUUUAGACGUGACUUUUGUGAGACAAGAGACGUAGGAAUUCAAUAUCAUUGAUUUCGUUUUCUUCCGCAUGGGGCUUACCCUUGUUCGGAGGCGGGUACGCGUGCGUUCUACUCGUCGACUCGGGGUGUUGAAUCCACGGGAAUCCCUCUGAAUGGGAACUCAUGUCAUGGGUCUUAUAAACCCGAAAUGCCGCAGUAUCGCGCGAAAAACUUUAUAAAUAAUUAGUCCACGCGCGCAAAUUUAGUAUAUUAUUCGCGAGUGUUUCGCGCGUGCAAUGAGAAGAAGAGGACAACCUUAAGGACACUGAGAGGAGGAGGAGGAGGCCUGGGAGAGGCAUCGGGCCCCAGCGGAGCAACCUUGGGUAAUCACCGUAGCUUCGUAGCUGAAUAACUCCGCUCGUUGCGCAUCGGGUCG